rnacentral:rRNA from 1 species
GCAUAGCUGUAAACAUAGAUGUUUCUACUACAUCCACCAUCCGCCAGGGUACUAUAAGCAUAAGCUCAAAACCCAAAGGACCUGGCGGUGCUUUAUAACCCCCUAGAGGAGCCUGUUCUAGAACUGAUAAUCCCCACUCAACCUCACCCCUUCUUGCCAAUCCCGCCUAUAUACCGCCGUCGUCAGCUUACCUUAUUGAAAGUUUAAUAGUGAGCAAAAUUGGCACAACCCUAAACGUCAGGUCGAGGUGUAGUAUAUGAAGGGGGAAGAAAUGGGCUACAUUCGUUUACCAACGCAUAACGGACAACAUGUUGAAACCACAUAUUUGAAGGAGGAUUUAGUAGUAAAAAGAAAAUAGAAUAUUCUUUUGAAACUGGCGCUAAAGCACG